rnacentral:lncRNA from 1 species
AGCACAGAAGACGAAGAGCUGGAAUAGAGCUCGCCUCGGCUCUGCUGGCCUUGGCUGCAGCUCUUCCAGAAACCCGGGGCGCCCACAGAAGAAUCUCUUACCUGGCUCUCUCUUCAGGGAUGACAUCAUCGGCUCACACCAGUCUUCCAGGACCACCUUCUGGAUGCCAAGGCUGCUGCUCGAGUACCUGCUGUGCACCUCUACCUCCUGAGCCAAGGAGCACGGAUUCCAGGAACCCACUACCAUACAGAGCAACUCCUUGUGGACCCCCCUGGGAUCAGGACAGCGAGGGACAAGCGACAAAGAGGAUCAUCAGUGGCCAGCUAGUUUCUCUGGGGUUCAAACCUUGAACCAGUGCCCUAGUGAGGGGGCACUGGCCAUGGCCCUUGACCUUUGCUCUGCUUGUGUCUUGAGUCUGAGCCCUUUCCUGUACAUCUGUGCUCGUGUUCAUCUGCUAGUGAACUGGAGUGCUGCCCUCCCCGAGGAGGGUCGUCCCUUGUGACUGAUCAUGCUGUCCUAACAAUGUCCUGAGCAAAAGGGUCCCUUUGGGAACCUCUCAGGAGGGGGACCCGGGUCAGGGGCGACCAGCAUCUUGCUGGCAACUCCGUGGGUGGGGUGGGGUGGGGUGCUUCCUUCUGGAAUGAGCACGUGGCUGACCCCCCAAGGCAUGUCCCCUCCCCCUCCUCCACCCACCUUCUCGGAGAUGUCCCUUUUGGGGUAGUGGGGACAUUAGGAGCAACCUCCUAGGGUUGUUGUGAGAAUUAAAUGAACUGCAGCAGCCUGAGGCAGGGCUGGGCAGAGACCUCAGCACAUGUUUGUUGAAAGGUUUGCAGGUGGAUCUAGUCCUCCCGUUCAUGGCUCAUGUGUCUCAACCAUUCUCUCGCAGACUCCUGCAGCCCCUAUGCCCAGGGCUCUCCUUGCGCCAGAGGUAGGUGGGAAAGAGAACUGGGAGAGCCCGGACUCACUCAUGAGAUUGAACUUAAAUUCACACGGAGGACACUUGGACUCUUGCCACAUUAGCCCCGGCUUCUCGAGGCCUGUCUACACUCGCUGCUUUCCUUCCUCACCUCCAAUUUCCCCUCCAACCCACUGCUUCCUGACUCGCUCUUCUCCAUCGAACGGCUCUCGCUCAGGUUUAAGGCUUGGCUUGCUGGCCCUGGAGAUCCCGUCGCCGUCUUCGUCGAACUCGAAAUCCUAGCCAUCGUCCUUCCCUGGCCUGUCGCGUCUUCCUGUGCCAUUUGCUGUUGUGCUCAGGUUCCACGAGCUGCCCAUCUCCACAGAAGAGCAGCUGGCAUUGCCCACCGGCCAUGCCGGCUGAAGAAAAGAAGACUGAGGACCCCAGGAUGCCCAGCGCGAGGACCCCAGGAAGCCCAGCGCGAGGACUCCACCCACGACGCCCAGCGCGAGGACUUCACGCACAACACGUUGCAACCCUCCUGGAUUAGGCCAAAGCCAUCAUCUGGAAUCCUGCGUGGGACCCUGGACACACGGACACAGACACCUGCCCCCAGGACCCUCCAACUGUAAAUCGAUUGGAAGCGCCCUUGUGAGCUGGGGCCUUCAAAGGGCUGAGGAGAAAAUGCAGGCCGAGAGACCAGCUUCUCAAAUAGGCUUCAAGCCUCCAUGACCUGAGCUCACCCCCUGGAAAUGUCUGGAAAACAUAAUGGGCAGGUUUUCUGUCUUCAAAGUUUCCAUCAAAACCUCUUCAAGUUCUUUAUUGUUUAGGACUGAGACACUUGGGGACAGUAAUGGGGACUUUCUUUUGUAUCUGUCUUGAAAGGCCAAAAUAUUUUUAUAUUGCUGUAGACAAAGCCACCUAUUUACAAAUGGACUCUUGUUCCGUCGUUUCCCACCAGGAAGACCGUACUAUGUUUGUGUCUCUAUGUAUUCUGGGGUCUUGAAACAGGUUUCUCAUGGGGAUGGCCAUUCACUAGAGCCCAGAGGGGCAGAAGGGGAAGUGUCUACCCUGCCAAGGGGGUCUGGGGAAGGAGGGGGGCUAGUCUCAGAUUUGCUCCUUGUAUGUCUAGGGUAAACCCUGGGAGAAUCUGGUGGUAAAAGAACAUAUGCUGUGUUUGCCCCACAUCU